GCCGAUGUAGCUCAGCUGGUAGAGCAUCUCAUUCGUAAUGAGGGGGUCGCAAGUUCGAAUCUUGUCAUCGGCACCA
rnacentral:tRNA from 1 species